rnacentral:rRNA from 1 species
UACAGAGGUCUCAAGCGUUGUUCGGAUUCAUUGGGCGUAAAGGGUGCGUAGGCGGCGCGGUAAGUCGGGUGUGAAAUCUCGGAGCUUAACUCCGAAACUGCAUUCGAUACUGCCGUGCUUGAGGACUGGAGAGGAGACUGGAAUUUACGGUGUAGCGGUGAAAUGCGUAGAUAUCGGGAAGAACACCAAAGGCGAAAGCACUUUGCUGGGCCGAAACUGACACUGAUAGACGAAAGCUAGGGGAGCAAAUGGG